AUGGGUAUUGUAGCUGCUGUGACUCUCUGGGAGAAAGCAGGAGGGGAAGGAGAGCUGCAGCCCUCCUCAGUCGGUGUGAGAAGAAGCAGUUCUAAACUAUCUUCUUCAAGAGCAUACAAGGCUUUCCUUUUGCUUCAGAGAAAAGGUAAGAAACCAGUUGUCUUACUUCUGCCUAAUUUUUAUUUCUUUUCUAAUGUAAACCUGUU
rnacentral:lncRNA from 1 species